UGGGGAAUAUUGCACAAUGGGCGAAAGCCUGAUGCAGCGACGCCGCGUGAGGGAUGACGGCCUUCGGGUUGUAAACCUCUUUCAGUAGGGACGAAGCGCAAGUGACGGUACCUGCAGAAGAAGCACCGGCUAACUACGUGCCAGCAGCCGCGGCAAUACGUAGGGUGCGAGCGUUGUCCGGAAUUACUGGGCGUAAAGAGCUCGUAGGCGGUUUGUCACGUCGUCUGUGAAAUCCUAGGGCUUAACCCUGGACGUGCAGGCGAUACGGGCUGACUUGAGUACUACAGGGGAGACUGGAAUUUCUGGUGUAGCGGUGGAAUGCACAGAUAUCAGGAAGAACACCGAUGGCGAAGGCAGGUCUCUGGGUAGUAACUGACGCUGAGGAGCGAAAGCAUGGGUAGCGAACAGG
rnacentral:rRNA from 1 species